rnacentral:rRNA from 1 species
ACGUAGGGUGCAAGCGUUAAUCGGAAUUACUGGGCGUAAAGCGUGCGCAGGCGGUUCGGAAAGAAAGAUGUGAAAUCCCAGGGCUCAACCUUGGAACUGCAUUUUUAACUACCGGACUAGAGUAUGUCAGAGGGAGGUGGAAUUCCACGUGUAGCAGUGAAAUGCGUAGAUAUGUGGAGGAACACCGAUGGCGAAGGCAGCCUCCUGGGAUAAUACUGACGCUCAUGCACGAAAGCGUGGGGAGCAAACAGG